GCCUCUCUCUAAACUCAGCUACUGAAAAAGAAAAAAAUUUUAGACAAAGAAAGAGCAAAAGACAGAAAAAUAACACGAAAACUAAGGAAAAAAAUGUUGCUCUCUGGAUCGGGCGCAGCGUGGAAUGCGAACCCUAACAAGUCUUAUGUGGGGCCAGAAUAUUUUCUAAAUUGUUGCAUUUUUGUUGCUUAGCAAGUCUUAUGAGAGGGUUGAGUUUACAGAAAUAAAUAGCCCUAUGCGAGGUCACACAGCAGAAAAUGUGAACCCUAACAAGUCUUUGAGGGCUGAGUUUACAGAAAUAAGUUGUGCUUUCUUGGAUAGGCGCAGUGGGGAAUGUGAACCCUAACAAGUUUUAUGAGGAAUGAGUCGAUCCUGAAGUAUCACCCUAACCUUGAUGCGGGCGAUUGCAGUGGGUGCGGGCGAUUGCAGUGGGUGCAACAUCUGCCUCAAAGUAGGGAGCUACUGGACCAUUUGCCUGUGCGGUCAAAAGAUAUCCUGCAUGAGCUUAACUUUAAAAAUAUGACACUGUCCGGGAUUGCAACGUGGUUAGGUUCGGGAAAUUAUGACAGGCAACAGUGAGGCGAAGGCCGCCAUACGCCAUGACCAACUGGUUCUGUGCUCUACUUGGAAGGAUGAUGGCUCCAAGUGUUCACCGGAGGAUGUGAUGAGAAUGUCAAAAUGUGGCCCUUGAUAUGUGGUCGCCAGCCUAUGUCAUGCACCUGUCAAUGAAGUUACUUGGAUUGAACAGUAAUCAAACUUUUGCAAAAGCUAGUUCUGAUGGCCCAUUCAAAUUUUGGAAUAAUGCCGGCAGACAGAGGCUGAAGACUGGCUAGAUGUUGUCUUGUCACCCGAUCCCUGGCAGCACCUUUAGCAAUGACGGAUCGAUUUUUGCCUAUGCGGCACAUCAUACUUCUGCAACUCUAAUGAGACAUCAUUUCUUGGACUAAUGACAACAAAUAUAGGCCGAAGAUGCAUCGUAUCUAUUUGGGGCUUUUCCAGUACAAACUUGGUAUCGCUACUAUCGUUCAAGGGGAUACUCUGAAGCAGUAAUGGCUUGAUUGGGAGUUGAUGACUGGUCAUGAAACCAAGAUGCAACGACAUGUUUACAUAUGGUUGUUCUCCAUUGGAAAGAUAUCUCUUGACCUCCUUAAUGAAAUUGUGCACUUAGCAUCAUUUUGGAUAGGUGCUUCGGCUCUGGCAAAAAUAUUAUGCAGAGAGGCACACGAGGAGGCAGAUGGCGGCCAUCGCUAGCCGGAGAGGGGGACCUUAUUUUGUGCCCAAUUGCCCUCGACUGACUUCUUCGCUGCGAAUGCUAAAGUUUGUUCUUUCGUUGCCUGGGAUCCUUAUUUUGGUUAUGUGCACUUAGCUAUUAUUUUGUUCCUGUCAUACAGGACGUUAAACUGAUUAAUUUCGUAUCCUUGGUUGGGGGGUAUGAUUUAUAUUUGUAUUAGCCACAUUUCGGGUAAUGUAGCAGGCUGGGGCUCUUUUGAUGCCAAAGAAUUCUCGUUUCAAACC